rnacentral:rRNA from 1 species
AGUGAACGCUGGCGGCGUGCUUAACACAUGCAAGUCGAACGCCCCGCAAGGGGAGUGGCAGACGGGUGAGUAACACGUGGGAACGUACCCUGUGGUUCGGAAUAACUUGGGGAAACUCAAGCUAAUACCGGAUAAGCCCUUAUGGGGAAAGGUUUACUGCCGAAGGAUCGGCCCGCGUCUGAUUAGCAAGUUGGGAGGGUAAUGGCUCACCAAGGCGACGAUCAGUAGCUGGUCUGAGAGGAUGAUCAGCCACACUGGGACUGAGACACGGCCCAGACUCCUACGGGAGGCAGCAAUGGGGAAUAUUGGACAAUGGGGGCAACCCUGAUCCAGCCAUGCCGCGUGAGUGAUGAAGGCCUUGGGGUUGUAAAGCUCUUUUACCCGGGACGAUAAUGACUGUACCGGGAGAAUAAGCCCCGGCUAACUUCGUGCCAGCAGCCGCCGUAA